UACGGAGGGUGCAAGCGUUAUCCGGAUUCACUGGGUUUAAAGGGUGCGUAGGAGGGCAGGUAAGUCAGUGGUGAAAUCUCCAAGCUUAACUUGGAAACUGCCGUUGAUACUAUCUGUCUUGAAUACCGUGGAGGUGAGCGGAAUAUGUCAUGUAGCGGUGAAAUGCUUAGAUAUGACAUAGAACACCCAUUGCGAAGGCAGCUCACUACACAAAAAUUGACGCUGAGGCACGAAAGCGUGGGGAGCAAACAGG
rnacentral:rRNA from 1 species